rnacentral:rRNA from 1 species
CGCCUCCUGCCCACAAAAUUAUAGGAGGUCCCGCCUGCCCUGUGACCAAAAGUUUAACGGCCGCGGUAUUUUAACCGUGCAAAGGUAGCGCAAUCAAUUGUCUUUUAAAUGGAGACCUGUAUGAAUGGCAUAACGAGGGUUUAACUGUCUCUUUUUUCCAGUCAAUGAAACUGAUCUGCCCGUGCAGAAGCGGGCAUACUAACACAAGACGAGAAGACCCUAUGGAGCUUUAGACGCCCACCAACUAUGAAAAGCAACCAAAUCAACGGAACUCCAAACAACAUAAUUCUGGCACAAACGUCUUCGGUUGGGGCGACCACGGGGGAAAAUAAAGCCCCCGAGAGGACAGGGGAAUACCCUGAAACCGAGAGUUACAACUCCAAGUCACAAAACAUUUGACCGACUAAUGAUCCGGCCCACGCCGAUCAACGGACCAAGUUACCCUAGGGAUAACAGCGCAAUCCCCUCCCAGAGUCCAUAUCGACGAGGGGGUUUACGACCUCGAUGUUGGAUCAGGACAUCCUAAUGGUGCAGCCGCUAUUAAGGGUUCGUUUGUUCAACGAUUAAAGUCCU